AAUGGCGAAGGGGAUCCAUGCAAGGAGGACCCAUGUAUUUAUAUUGGACUACUACUAUUUUACACCGCAAUUUAAAAUAACGUACUUUACGUGAAAAUCGAGUAGAAAAUAGCCCACUAAGGUCAAAGCAAGAAUGGAAAACUGAAAAAAAGGCUUCUGUCAUAAGUCUGCAUGUCAAGAUGUUGUAGUUGUUCAAUGGAAGGAACAAAGUUUUAGCAGCUGCUUCAAAUUUUGGCGUAUCUGCAAACACAACAGCUCCACGUUACUGCAGAGAAACUAAAUCUAAGGUAAAUGUUCCACAGCCAGGCAUAAUAUAUAAUUAUAAUAGAGGGAUGGGUCGGGUAGAUAAAUUAGACAACAUGGAUGCCAACUAUAGGGCCCGAAUAAGACAAAGAAAAUGGUGGUGGCCAAUUUUAUUUUUCGAAGAAACAUAGCCAUAGCUUUGCGGCAUUCAUAUGGCGUAAAGUCUGUAAAAGGGAAACUAAGACCAACCUUACCGCUGGAUGUUAGGCUUGAUAAUAUCAAUCAUUUGGUGGAAUAUUCUGAGACUGAUAGAAAAUGUGCAUUUUGCAAAAAAAGGCAAAUUUGGUUUGCAUAAAAUGUAAUGACUGUAAUGGCUUAUCACACUAAAUAGGCAUAUCAAAGAAUGCAUUUUUUGUUGAUUAUCAGAAUUUUUAUUUUGUUAUUUUUAGCACAAUGUCCCUCAUAAGGGACUGUUAUUUUUUUCAAAUGAAUACAUUUCUUGUUUUUUUUCCACAUUUGCCUGCUUAUUUCAAGUACACUAAACAAAUGUUUAAUAAAAAACGUAUGUGUUUCUUAUUCCAUGCUACUUCAUGCACUAAUGGGUUAAAUAAGUUUUGGUUGAAAGUCUCUUUACUGCUUUAUUUUUAUAUCAAAAAAAUAUUACUGUAGCUUUCGCUAAAAUCCGAUAGGGGCAUUGACUUGGGGAUUUACGUUAUUCAAGUUAACGAUAUAUAUUUUUUUAUGCUAUUAAGAGCAGGGAACAAAGCUAAACAGAUUGGUAAAAACCGCAUUCAGAUAUAACUACUCAAACUAAAGUUAUUAAAAAAAAAUGUAACCAUUAAAAAAUUAAAAUUACAAAAAUCGCCGUAAAUUCAUAUUGCAUUAGUCGAAUUGAGAAAACUUGUGUUUAAAUGAAUAUUCGUUUAAAGAAAGAAACUUAGUGUAAGUAGGUUUUCGAAAAUCCAUGAGGAGGCGGUCUUUCAUAUAAUACAUUUAUAUUAAUAGAUUAUUUCGUCCUAGAUUUUCAAAAUGGGCGCCCCUAUGUUCACGCGUAGACUUUGUCUAGCUAAGAAAAGGUACAGCACGUGUUGUUCGGCUCGGUUGCGCAGUAAAUUUGUUCACGCCGCUGCCAAAGCAACGGUAUCGAUCGCCCCGAUUUGCAUAUAAACACUGCCGUUGCGUUAAUUCUUAUAUUUGUGUUCUGUGCCUUUUAGUGUUUAUGUCUUUUCUUAAAAAAGGCGCGCUACUGUCGCUAAUCGCGCGUUAUUAGGGGACAUAACUUGGCGCAGCUUUGAAACAGAUGGUGUACCUUUCCUUAGCUAGACAAACUCUAGCUGCAAUUUUUCCCUCCCUCGUAGAGAUAUUGACACAUUCAAUUUCCUCUCUAGGCAAACCAUGUAUCGCAUUUUAAAUUCUGAGGAUCAUAUUUUCUGAAUGUAGGCCUGGUCCGAAAAACGAGGUCUUUCACUCUUCCCUAGAGGUAAAAAUCUAAAACGGUCAAGUGGGGUGACCUGGCUGGCCAGAGAAACAGGCUUUCUCUUUCUAUACAUCGAGUAUAGGAAGUAUGGUAAUGCAGCAUUUAACACCUAAUUGCAGCAAUGGGUAUUGUCGCGCCAACGGAAAGCUACCCGCUUUAGGUGGUUACGACGGUUCGAUAAAAAUAAAACACCCAGUAAAACAGUCACUAAGAUGCUUUAUUUAAACAAGGGAUUAUUACAAAAGUUAACUAGCGAAAUUUAAAAAAAAAAAAAACCGGAACGAAAAAAGAUACAUAAAAAGUGUUCUUUAAAAUUAAUGUGUACUCUUGACCGACUACAAAAAUACUAAAAAAUCUAUUCGAUAUAAAAUCUCAAAGCCUUUCACCGAACAAAACAGUUUUUUUAUUUCGUUUCCUUACCGUUAAAACAUCAAAUAAAAUUCUGCUUAUGAGGCAGCGGCUUCGAUGAUAUACCCGUGAAAUACAGACUAAACAACUUUUUUCCCGGUGCCUUAAAUGGAUUUAUUAAGAUCCAGAUUUACAUCUCCCAAUAAAAUUGGCAAUGUGUUUCUGCGGAACUCUAGAUAUUACCUCUUAGUGCCUCGUCAAAGACAUAUGGUCCUAUAAUUGUGCCACCUAUUAUACCACACCAUACAUUUAUACUACAGCGUCCUUGAUGCUGAAGUUCUUGCUUCCAAUGGGGAUUUAUGAAGACCAAUAAUGUAUAUUAUGGCGAUUUACCCCACCAUUGCUAUUAAAAGUAGACUCGCCUGUACAAAGAAUUCUGUAUAGAAAUUGAGGGUUUUCGUUAACCAUUCCCAGAAGCCAAUGGCAAUAAUCGAGUCGUCUAUCGAAAUCCGUAUCUGUCAAAGCUUAGUGCAGAACGACAUGAUAGGGAUGUAAUCUGAAAGUAAACUAAAUUUGCAUCAAUAUGAAUCCUAUUUGAUUAACAUCUAAGAUAUUGUAUAUACAGGGUGAUUCAGUUUAAGCGUCAUUAAUUUUAAUACGUGAUAGAGAAUUUAAAAAGAAAUAAAUUUUCAUUAUAAAAUUUUUCUCACAAAUGUUUAAUAACAAAGAUACAGGGUGCUAAAGUUAAGAAUAAUUAAUUGUUUAUUUAUCAUAACUUUUAAACUACCUGCUCAAUUUUAAUUAAAUUUGCGCAUGCAGGUUAUUGUACUGAAUUAUCAAGUACUGAUAAAGGCAAUUUCUAAUAAAAUUGCCAGUGGCGUAACAUACGGAGGGACUAUGGAGAGAUUCUGAAUAAAGCAAAAGAUAUAUUUACGGUACUAAAAAAAUUAACAAAAAAAUUCGAUGUAAAAACACAAACUUUUAAAUUUAAAGAAUCUAGACCCCCCUGUUUCAAUGGACUUAUUCAAACCAUAAAUGGCAUUUUAAACUUAUUUGAAGAAGAAAAAAAACAUAACAAUACAUUUAUUUUAACAAACAGACUUAACCAAGAUUUUCUAGAAAACUUUUUUUCGGUAGUCAGGGAGCAGGGGGGGUUGGAAUUUAAAUCCAUCUGCUAAAUCUUUUAGGCUUUCAUUUCGUAUUCAAACCAUUACCGAUUUAAUCAAACCGUCAGAGUCUUCAAAUUGUGAAGAAGAUCUAGACCAACAAUUAUUACUGUUGUCUUCAUCUAAUACGCAAUGUGAAGAUACUAACUUAUCAGACUCAAAUUUGGACCAUUCAAAUAGUAUUAAUACAGAUCAUAAUAAUUCUGACAUUGCCGAAUCCCCAUUGCCUUCUUCAAGAUCACAGAGCUUAUUUAGCGAUGAAGUUAAUCCAAUGGGUUCAUUGGAAGAGUGUGCCAUUACUUAUUAUGCCGGGUAUCUUGUUAAGAAAGUUGGUGAUAAGUUUAAUUGUAAAAAGUGCUUGACAGCCUUUCAAAAGUCCACUGAGUUUGUUUUAGAAUUGUCGGGUUCCAGACAACUUUUUUUAUUGAAUAAAAAUUUUGGCGGGAAAAAUGAAAUAUCUUUGAUAGUGCCCUCUGAUAAAAUUACUAAAUUAGUUCACAGCUCAUUUUUAGCGUAACAUUUCGAAACUUUUAAGUCCGCAGAAUUCGUAUGUCAAAAAAUUAAAGAGAAACUACAGAUUUUAAACAAUAACUGGUUGGGCAAUAAAGACGAUCCAUGUUAUAAACACAAGGCAUUUCUAAUUGAACAUUUAGUUAUCACAAACAUUUUUAAAUUUUGCAAGUGGUACAAAUGUCCAAAAAAACACACACUCAAAAACUUAAAAACUUAGAGAAUAAAUAAGUAUCAAUCAUGUGACUAAAAUCUUAGAUGUCAAUACAGUUUUCCAAAUAGUUUUUGUAAUUUUUUUUUGUUGUUUAAAAUUAAUAACUUUAGGAGAGGUCCCGACGGCGACGUCCAGACACCUUUUGGGCUAGUAAUUCGUAUUCUCUUAGACUUUCUAGAAAUGUCCACCAAGGAAUCUAGUUUUGAGUAUUUGCAUAAAACUAUUUAAUAUCUUUCUAAAAGCAUAGAAACAUAAAAACUCGUUUUAUUAGCAUUAUUAUUAGUUUUUAAUUUUAUUAUUAAGUUAGUCAUCUUUUUUUUUUGUACAAAUAUUUACUUUUUUGUAUUAACUUAUAACUUGUGUUAACUUGUAACAUGUCUAUUUUUUAUGGUUAAACUAGUGUCCUAUAAAAGUGCAGUUAAGUUGUUAAAUAAUAAUUCAAGUAGGUUUUGCACAGGAGUAUUCAUCAUUAAAAGGGUAUAUAUUACAUUCGUAUCAACAAUAUUUCUUCCCUGGUGUUUUUAUUUUUGGUUUUAAUUUUUAACUAAAAAAAAAAUUAACUAAAACUAUUUUUAAUAAUUAUUUUUUAACCAAAAACUUUAUUCUAAAUUUCUUUUUUUGGCGAUUAAUAUUAAAAUAAACUAAUAUAAUUUAAUCAGAUAAAAUAACUUACCUGCCUAUAAAUUUAGCCGUUAGUUUUACUUAAUAAAAAUUAUAAAAUUCAUACCUCCAUUAGAAAAUAAUAUAUUAAAAUUAAUUAUUUCGUAACUUACCUAUUUGUAAGAAUUGGCAACGUUGCGCACAGCUAAGUGGCUCGUUUCGCUCUCGCGGCGGAUUCUGCGAGGGUUACCGUCUUAUUACAUUCGCAGUUAAGGGAGCAUUGAUAUCUCCGGACCGAUUCACAAUGCCUUAUUUAAAUGAACCAUCUUUUCGUAGUAGUAUUAUCUUUGGUUCUAUCUGAAUCCGAGAGAUUUUUUUUUUAUUUUUCAAAUUUAUUUUUGAAAGCCAAUAGUAAUAAGAUAUAAAAAGAAUUGACAGGAGGAGAAUAAGGAAUAAAAGAAACCAAAAACGAAAUGAAUCGAAACUAUAGAAGCCGAGAUAUAAGUAAAAAUGUGGGAAAAACAAAGGAAAACUGUUUUUUUUUCCCACCGUACCAUUUUUUUCCCUAAAAUGACUAUUGGCAAAUUUUAAAGUAAGCCCUAAACUAACAAUUUCCAGUAAAAAAACUCAACUAAAAAAUAAUUUUUUUUUGGUCGAAAAUCGAAAGGGACCUACGAAAAAUUUCAAAAAAUUGAUUUUUUUUUCUAAAUUAACUGUAAGUCUGAUAACUUUUUGUUUCAAACAAAAGUUCUCAGAAAUAUUAUGACGUAUCCGUAUGUCAAAACGAAUCCGUUCUGGCUAUCAUAGAAUCGGAGAAAAUUGAAAGAAACUAUAAAACAUAAAUAUUUAAUUAUCAUGAGCCCUAUGGAAAAAUUUUAAGUUUUUAUUUUUCUAUACUGUACUACUUCAGAGCACCUUUAAAAAAGAUUAUACCGAUUUGACUCUAAAACGAACAGAAAACCUAUUUCUUUGCAUUUUUCGAUUUUCGAACAAAAUCCGGGUCAAAAUGAGCAUUUUUUCAAAAUAUGCUCCGAAUUCAAAAUUUCUUUUUUUUGCUUAAAGACGACUUAAAAAGUAAUAAAAAAGCUUUAUGACAAAUUUUUCUACGAUUCAUACGAGUGUCACAAUCUAAAGAGAAAGAUCAGGUCCCAUAAGAAGCAAUGUAUUAGGAUAGGAAAAAGAGGUUUGUUUCUUGUUUUUUUUUUGUAUUUUUAUUGUAAAAGGCAAUUAUAAUAAAAUAAAAAAAAAUUUAAGGGAAAAAAAGAAUAAAAAAAUUGAUUAACUUAAUAGAAGCUAUAAAAGCCGUGAUAUCAGUAAUAUAGUAAAAAAAUACACUUUUUUCAACAUCGCAUCCAAUAUCUUUUUUUCCAAAUUGGUAAACUAUUAAUAUAAAUUUAUUAUCAAUUUAGCAACCCCCACUAAAAGAACCCUAACUAAAAUAAAACUAUUAUUACUGUUAUUUAUUUCCAGAUAUUUAUACCUUGUCCUAACCUUUAUGCUGCUAUUACUAUUAUUAUAAAUAAUAUUUUCCUUAUAAAUGCCCUAAAACCUUAAAACUCCCCGUAUAAUUCUAUUUUUAUAGUAUUAUUAUCCGCAUAAAUAUCCCGUAAUAUUAAUACUCUCUGUAUAUUUCAAAUAUAUAUUUAUAUUCAAUUUAUUUAUCCUAGUAAUUAAUCAAAAAACCGUUCAAAAUUGUUCCCAUAAAUAACUUGUGACUUCACGAGACGAACAUGACACGUUUAUAAUUGUUGCCAGACAUCUCCCAUCCUUCUCUAAAACCGCUUUUACUACUCUAAUUUGAAACGCAAAUGGGCCCGUAAAAAAUGUAAAUAAGAUGGAGACGUCAGAUGCGCGGCGAAUUUUCCCGCCGCAGUAAAAACCAUUCGAUAUGCACAUAUUCGGAAAAUUUAAAAUUUCCUGAUAUCGUCACUACCAAUUCCUGAUCAUUUCCACCCAUUUUAAGCCGCUAAUUUUCGAAUUGAAAAAGUCGGAUCCGCCCGAACGUAGAAUUUGCCGCCAUGACACCGAAAACCCCGCGGUUGCGUCAUCUGGCCAUGUGCGACUCGAUAGUGACGUCGUCCGUACUCCGUAUGCUUUAACAUUGGGUGCUGGACCACUAACUUAUAUUGUACCAUAAGCUGGCUCCCUGUGUCUCCAGGGUAUGACUGGUUGAUUGGACCGGCUUAUUUUUUGGGGUUUUUCUUAAAUAACAGCGCGUUGUGGAAAAACGGUAACAUUUAAAGAAAAAUGGUUUUUAGUGGAUUAUAGCCAGAUAGUGUCCGGUGAUUUCAGAAAAGGUGAUUUAAAGAGUUAUUAAGAAAAGUAGAAAAAAAACGUUCAAAAAAAGGCUCCAAAAGGGGUUUAUAUCUGUUAACACAGCUCACCCUGUAUAAUACGUAGUGCCAUGAAUAAUAACUCUAUUUAAUACUAAAGGAUUAAACUUUCAAAUAGUGUAAAAAAAAAAUUUAGAAGUAAAAAGAAAUUUAGAACUAAAAAAAAAAUAUUUCUCAAAAAUUCAAAACUCUCAAAAUACAAAAGUUUGAGCUCGUUUAUCUCGGAAGAAGUUUCCUUUUUGAAAAAAAUAGUUUUAACAAAAAAGAAAGCUACAUUUACGUAGAAAAGGGCUGUUUUGUCCGCAUUAUCGGGAACGUUACCGUUUAGGCCCCACAACCGUUUAAGUCCGCGAGGUACCGCGCAAAAAGUUCAAAAUUCAUUCACAGAAAAAUCCGACUUCUAAAGGGUUUAUCUUAAAAAGCGCCCUUUCAGAGCUGCUUUAUAUAAAGGCCUUUAACGUCAAUGAGUUUCAGAAAAUUCAGCUCGGUCAGUUUUCCAGAACGGCUUAAUCAAAAUUUGUUCGUCAAAAAACCGUUUUUUGCUACGCCCACCCCAUCGGGGUGGAUGUGGCGAAAUUUUUUUUUACCAUUAUAUACGCUCAUCCUUCGUACAUAAAACGGUAAAAAAAAAAAAUCGCGAUAGAACCAAAGUUAUUAGCGUUUAUGUGACGCAGGGCCGGAAAUCGCUCGAUUUGUCACGAGCGCAUAAUAAGAGUUUCGCUCUUAUAAUAAUUAUUCUCCGCAAACGCAAGUAUCAUUUUCAAUCUUGUGAAAGUUCAUUCAACAUUCUGCCGCUUAUUUAUUAUUAAUGGGAUAAACUAAUAAAAGGUUACUACUGGA
rnacentral:lncRNA from 1 species